rnacentral:miRNA from 1 species
AUUGGGGUAGCCAAAAAGUUCAUUUGGGUUUUUCUGUAACAUCUUAUGGAAAAACCUAAAUGAACUUUCUGGCCAACCCAAU